GAGUGCAGUGGUGCGAUCUCGGCUCACUGCAACCUCCGCCUCCCGGGUUCAAGCGAUUCUCCUGCCUCAGCCUCCUGAGUAGCUGGGACUACAGGCGCCUGCCACCACGCAUGGCUAAUUUUUGUAUUUUUAGUACAGACGGGGUUUCACCACAUUGGCCAGGCUGGUCUCGAACUCCUGAUCUCGUGAUCCGCCCUCCUCGGCCUCCCAAAGUGCUGGGAUUACGGGCGUGAGCCACCAUGCCUGGCCCGUGAGCCAUCUACGCCUGGCCAGAAGAUGUAAGUUAUAACGUUCUAUGGUAGAGCAGGGUCACUAUAGUUAGCCAGAAUGUAUUAUAUAUUUGAAAGCAGCUAGAAGAGAAAACUGGAAAUUUUGCUAACACACAGAAAUGACUCGCGGUGCUUGAUGCGCCAAAUACCCCAGCUUAAUCAUUACACUUUCUAGGCAGGCAGCAAUAAAUCACAUGGAAGGCAGACAUCUAUAAACUAUCAUGUACCAAUAAAAAAGAUCCCACAGCUGAUCUCAUAAAUAAAUAUAUUUUUCAGUAGAAGCAGAAAUAGAAUCCUAAUUCUGAGCUUGUUCUGUGAUUUCUUCAAAUAUAAAGAUAUCAUCAGCCAUUUGAACCCUGUAAGUAACAGAAAGCCAGAUAGAGUGAUUCUCAGGAUGUUGCUUUAUCCCUAUAAUAUGUCACAGAUCGCUAAAUAAGUAAUUACCGGAAAAGAAGCCAUGAAUGUCACUGGCCAUUUUUAAGUUUUUUGUUUUCUGUUUUGAGAUGGAGUCUCACUCUGUCACCCAGGCUGGAGUGCAGUGCUGCAAUCUCUGCUUGCUAUAACCUCCAUCUCCUGGAUUCAAGCGAUUCUCCUGCCUGAGCCUCCGAAGUGGCUGGGACUACAGGUGCACGCCACCACACCCAGCUCAUUUUUGUAUUUUUAGUAGAGACAGGGUUUCACCAUGUUGGCCAGGCUGGUCUUGAACUCCUGACCUCAGGUCUCAAACUCCUGACCUCAGGUCAUCCUCCCGCCUCAGCCUCCCCCAAAGUGCUGGUAUUACAGGCGUGAGCCACCAUGCCCAGCCCAUUUUAAAUUAUUACAGCAUUCUAUUUUUAAACUCACAUCCCUUAAACAUAUUUAGUUCUUAUUUUUAGUCACUGCCAACACUAGGACAUAAAACCAUAAUAAUUUCAGCAGUUUACAAAAAACCCUUGAAAUUUGAACACCUGUAUGAACCAACCAUCUGUGGUUAUUUAAACCACAUUUAUUUGAAAUUAGAGAAUGAAGUACAGAAUCCCUUUAGAACUGUGACCUGCUUCAGCCCAGAGGUUAUUGAUUCUUUAUCCGCUUUACCUAUUGUAUUAUCAGUCAAUGAGCGGGAAAUAAAUCUGCAAUUGUUGAAUAGCCUACUGACCAAAUUAAUGAAUAUUCCUUGCUGCUUUCCUGCAAUUCUGUGGCUUAAUUACGGAUCUUUAAAAAUAUUAGUUUUUCGGCCGGGCGCAGUGGCUCACGCCUGUCAUCCCAGCACUUUGAGAGGCCAAGGCGGGUGGAUCACCUGAGGUCAGGAGUUCGAGACCAGCCUGACCAACAUGGAGAAAUCCCGUCUCUACUAAAAAUACAAAAUUAGUCAGGUGUGGUGGUGCUCACCUGUCAUCCCACCUACUUGGGAGGCUGAGGCAGGAGAAUCACUUGAACCUGGGAGGCAGAGGUUGCGGUGAGCCGAGAUCGUGCCAUUACACUCUAGGCUGGGCAAGGAGUGAAACUUCGUCUCAAAAAAAAAAAGUAGUCUUUCAUCCAGUUUUUUAAAUAAAAAACUUUAUGAAAAAAUACAGUUUUCCAUACAGCUUUUAAAGAAAUCGGUGGUCUAUAUUAAAAAAUUAAAACCUGACCUGAUAGGAGCUGGAGCAGAUAAAUACACAGACUAGCAGGGGGCUUUUCUGUUCUUUAUUUAUUUUGUUUGUUUGUUUUCAACGCUCUCUGAUACAAUUAAUGACCUUUCUCUACCCAGACAAUGCUUCAGUCUAUACCUGCUCAUACAAAGAGAAUAAGUUCACACAGGCAUGCCGGCGGGAUCUUCAGAAUCCCCAAGGUUAAACACAAUGGCCCUGCAGGCUUUUGAGACCAGACACGAAGCACGGAAGAAUUUAUUCUUUCCCCGAUGCUACUGUUCCUAGUAAUGUCUUUGACAUUGGAAUUUGAUUAUGCUGGUGGCAUCUGACAAUUUGUCAAGGGAACCAUUGAUUUUUCACGGCUCAUUAAGAAAGCUGGGCGAGGUGGCUCACGCCCGUCAUCCUAGCACUUUGGGAGGCCGAGGCGGGCAGAUCACAAGGUGAGGAGUUCGAGACCAGCCUGACCAACACGGUGAAACCCCGUCUCUACUAAAAAUACAAAAACUAGCUGGUGGUGGUGGUGUGUGCCUGUAAUCCCAGCUACUCGGGAGGCCGAGGCAGGAGAAUCGCCUGAACCCGGGAGGUGGAGGUUACAGUGAGCCGAGAUCGUGCCACCGCACUCCAGCCUGGGAGACAGAGUGAGACUCUAUCCUAAAAAAAAAAAAAAAGGAGAAAAAAGAAAACAACAUGGUUCUCAGUUAGUCAGCGGCAGGACUGAAUCUCCAGGGACCUCUUUUCUUACCCAGUAAUGAAAAUGUAGCCAUCAGAGAGAGGUCAGAACGUCUCAUACACCCAGAAGGCUGAGAAUACCUUUAUGCCUGUUUUCCCUCCUCGUCAGCGAGUAUGUCAAUUGCUGUUUCUAAAUGUCUUGGAGAUGUUUAUAUUACAGUUUUGCAUUUUGUGACAAGUGCCGUGCAGCCUGCUUUUCACCGUGAACCUGGAAACCUACCCUUCUAACACGAUUUAUCAGGCCUGUUCAUAACCGCUCACUCCACACCGUGUUUUAAACGCCCAGCAUUGACUAGAAGCUCAGCCACGGAAAUCAAUUCUUUCCAUCACGGUUCUGCCCUCCGAUGAUAGACAAGGCAGUUUUCCUGUACAAGUGCCGUGGAUUUCUGCAAGAUAUAAUUAAUGCUUUGUCACUUUCUCCCCAGAAAGUUGCCUUUGUUUAUUGCACUGUGAAAUUGGAAGUUGGCAAAGGUGAAAGGUAGUUCUCCUGUGAGAAUACAUUGUGAUUUUUUUUUUUUCCGUAAGAAAUUUAAGAUGACAGCCGGGCGUGGUGGAUCAUGCCUGUAAUCCUAGCACUUUGGGAGGCUGAGGCGGGCGGAUCCAUUGAGGUUGGGAGUUCAAGACCAGCCUGGCCAACAUGGUGAAACCCCAUCUCUAUCAAAAAUAUAAAAAAUUACCCAGGUGUGGUGGCGCACUCCUGUAAUCCUGGCUACUCGGAAGGCUGAGGCAGGAGAAUCGCUUGAACCCGGGAGGCAGAGGUUGCAGUGAGCCGAGAUCGCACCAUUGCAUUCCAGCCUGAGUGACAGAGUGAGACUCCAUCUCAAAAAAAAAAAAAAAAAAAAAAGCACAAGGUAAGAUGGGGGCGCACUCCUGUAAUCCCAGCUACUUGGAAGUCUGAGGCAGGAGAAUCACUGGAACCCGGGAGGCAGAGGUUGCAGUGAGCCCAGCUACUCGGAAGGCUGAGGCAGGAGAAUUGCUUGAAUCCGGGAGGCAGAGGUUGCAGUGAGCCGAGAUCACACCAUUGCAUUCCAGCUUGGGCGACAGAGUGAGACUCCAUCUCAAAAAAAAAAAAAGAAAUUUAAGAUGACAACUAAAGCUUUCC